rnacentral:tRNA from 1 species
GCCUCUGUAGCUCAGUGGUAGAGCGCCACAUUGGUAAUGUGGAGGUCGCGAGUUCAACUCUCGCCAGAGGCU